rnacentral:tRNA from 1 species
AUUAAAUUAUCAUAAAUCAAUGUUUUAAACUUAGAAUUUAAAUAAGCAAAUUUUAUUUGCAUUUAAUA